UACGGAGGGUGCAAGCGUUACUCGGAAUCACUGGGCGUAAAGGAUGCGUAGGCUGGAAGCCAAGUCAGAAGUGAAAUCCCACGGCUCAACCGUGGAACUGCUUCUGAAACUGGCUACCUAGAAUGUGGGAGAGGCAGAUGGAAUUGGUGGUGUAGGGGUAAAAUCCGUAGAGAUCACCAGGAAUACCCAUUGCGAAGGCGAUCUGCUGGAACACAAUUGACGCUGAGGCAUGAAAGCGUGGGGAGCAAACAGG
rnacentral:rRNA from 1 species